UGGCUUUGAAUGCAUAGGACAUCCCUGUCCUUCUCAAAGGUGAAACCAAAGGUCAAGAAGAUCAGGGAGACAGUCAUUAGAGGUUUCUACAGUCCCAGUAAAGAAGACCUGUACGUCACCUACAUUCUGGCAGCCACAGACCUUGUGGUUCUGGACAGAUCCUGUAUAAAUUUGGAAUCAGGUCCCUAGGAGAAAGACAUCUGGCCCUGCUUUGUUGUCAAGUUCUCCUAAUCACCAAAUCUACCACGAGGAAGACGGAUGACAACACACUGCUGUUCGAUGUGGAGGUCAAGGCCAACAGGAGCUAGAUGAAACAGGCUGGGAGGAAGCUCUGUGGGCGGAAGCAACAGCCAGCACCCUGGGAAGCCUGGUACACAGCAAAAGGCAGAUCCAGCCCCAUCAGCUCCUGCUAUUUCAGAUAGGCCUGGGAUUCCAGCACUCGGGAAGCUGAGGCAGGAGGAUUUGCUGCAAGUUGAAGGUUGACCUGUUCUACAUGAAUGAGUUCUGAGCAAGGGCUACAGAACAGGAUCCUGUCUCAAAAUAACUGAAUAUAGGCCUACAGAGGACACUGAAGAUCUCAGCCAUAACAGACGCCACGUGUACAAGUCUGUACUCCACGGAUCAAGUCGGAUUGAGAGUCUAACGAGACCAACUGGUGGUGAGGAAGCCGAUUGAACCAUCUGUACCCACGUCAUGCUGUACCAUAUCUCAUUAGAAUCUGUGAUGGUUCCAGCCCGCCAUAGCUCACACCAUAAAGGAAACAAACUUUCCCUAGAUAUCAAGAUACUCAGUUCUGAAUUUCAGUUGUAAAAAGAAGAAAAUGCAAGACCCAAAUUCUCUCUUGACUGAACAGAGCUUGGUGGCCUGAUGUGCUUUGUCAAUGACCUUUUUCUUGUAUGACAGGAUGCUGUCCACUGGGCUGAAUGGUUCAGUCAGAGGGGCUGGGCUGAGAAGAGCUGCUCCUCUCAAUAGUGCAGUAUUUCCUCAGGAGGUCAUGGUGCUGUACCUGCAGGUUUUCCGGGAUGGUGAGGAAGAUUCACUCUCCCUUCCCAGCAAAGAGUAGAGGGCACAAAACAACUGCAGCUCUCCUCUGCACUGUGAAACAGGAGAUGAGUUUGCCGGCUCUUUUACUUAGAACUACUUAAGUAGCAGAUCCAUAAUUUUCAGUAUAAAUAGGAUCUGGCGCAUUCUAUCUUUUCCAAAUCACUAACCAGAUGUCCUGGUACCAUUUAUGGAGUGAUAUAUCCAUUUUUUAUUCAUCUGACUUUCUGCCUCGAAAUUCCUUAUAUUGUUAUCUAAAAUUGGAGUCCAUUGUGUUUCAUCAUGCUUUCCAUGCCUGAGUACUUUAGUUUUUUUUUUUUUAUUUUAUUUAAUUACAGCUUUUUGUAUUUCUUCUCUGAAUUGUCAACCUGAACUUUUUGGGUGAGAGUGCUUGAGACAGUGUCUGGAGGCUCAUGUAUACUGAAUAUAUUCUGUGUCACUAAGCUACGUCCUCACUGGCCCUCUUCUGUCCUUUGUUUCUGUAGUCUCUGUUCUGCCUAACCUUUAUGUCUUUGAAAUUCUUGGAACUUUUGUUCCACAUAAGCCUGUUUGAGCUAAUGAGGAUUAGUAUUUCUCCUAAGUUUUAUUCCAGCAUUAAUAAUGUGCUUGUAGUGAUUUAUUUAAAAUUAAAAAAAAACAAUGUAUGUGUAUGGGUGUUUUGCCGGCAUGCAUGUCUUUGUAUCAUGUGCAUUCCUGAUGCCUGUGGAGGUCAGAAGAGGGCAUCAGAUCCUGGAGUUACAGGUAAGUGCGCCUCCAUUUGAGUGCUGGGAAUUGAACCUGGGUCCUCUGGACCCAGCAAGUGCUCCAGAUCCUGUGGCGUUGGAAUAACAGGCAGUGAUGAGCCACCUGAUGUCGUUUCUGGGAACUAAACUCACCUCAUCCACAAGAGCAGUAAGCCUGCUUAACUGCCGAGCCAUUUCUAGCCCCUCUUUUCCUUUUAAGGCUGAAUAAUGUUCCACUGUAGUAGGUACAUGCUGCAUUUUGUGUGUCCACUCGAGAAGUUACACCCUUUCUUUUAUCUUUUCUUCACUUUUCUUCAGAUCUCUUUCCCUCACCCUCUCCCUCUCCCUCCCCCCCCCUCUCUCACACACACACACCCCUCUACGGGGUUGAUUGAGGUCUGGGAAUAAAACCUGAGAUUAUUUAGUCCCUUCUUGUGCAAAUGUCUGUUAUUAAUUUUGUUUUUGUAAGGCAACAGAUUGAACCAACACGGGCGAUACUCAUUCUGCUUUAAGUCCUGAGGAAUAAUUAACAUUUCGUAUGUAAACAGGAGAGAAGAAGGGCUUCCAGUAUUCACUCAGCGUGUACUGCACAUGGGUAGAAAAGUUAAGAUCACUGCUCUCGAAUAAAUUGUCUAUAUAUUCAUUCAUCUAUUCA